UUCUGAAAAUCUCUGCAAACUCCUGGAGUUAACGUGAACAGCAAUAAAGUACAGUCAAGCACCACUCUGGGAACAAUGCUUUAGGCUGAUUAAAGAUGAAUUUUCGAAUCUGAAAGAGGUACCAAUAGAAGAUUCCCUUCCCCCAUCAGUUACAAUGAAGUUUUAACCCAAGAGGCCCAUACUCAGAGAAUCCAGACCUGCCAGAGAUUAAUACAAGAAGCAGUGAGCUUGGAUGACACGCCACAGGUGGAAAGGAGAGGGAGACCCAGUGGGCAGCCCGUGGGUCUAAUGUGUGGUGUCAGUGAUGGGAUCCAAAGUGAACUUCUGACAGCUUCGGGGACAGUGAGAAACACAGGCCUGCUGCCUGGAGAGCCCUUUGAGUUCCCAGUCUUUCCCACCAUUUCCAAAGGCUGCGUGUAAAUGCUUCUCAGUUCUGAGCUCGGCUCUCUUUGCAUUGAGCUCCCAACCUAGCUGGCAUUCCAGUCUGCAAUUCCCCCUUCUGGAAACCCCUUCCAGUCUGCCGUCCUCACUUGUGGUUCAGUGCCCUCCCCGGUCCCCAGUUCCGGGUUGGGAAUUGCUGGUGGUGUAGCCAGUCCGCAGUAACAUCUCUUGGUUACUGCUGGUUUGUUAAGGUGCACAUUUGUCUCAUUUUGUGUAUAUAAAGGCUGCUGCUAGUGGGAAUCUCAGAAGCCAAAAAAGCUGCAAAAAUUGGUGGGCGUGGAGCAAACACUUAAAGGCCAUUAGGGCACCCGCCACCUAACUCAAAGACUCUGUGUUAGGAUGAGGUGGUCACAGGACAGCUUAGAUUGACACUAGGUCACCUACCAACCUCAAGAAAGUUUCCAAGCAAUGAGGUACACUGUAAAUCACUGCACAAUCCCCAACCCAGCAGCAGAACCCUUUUAGUUAUUAGUGUGGUUCCAAGAGACCCAAAGGCUUAGCAGAAGGAAGAAACAACAAAAAAAGGAAUGGGAUCUUUAAGCUCCAAAGAGUCAAGCGUGUUACCUUUCAGCACAGCUGCUUAUUUUAUGUCUAAGAACUAUGGCUUUGGAAGCUAUAAACAUCUACAAAAAUGGCAAAAUCUUACUAAAGACAACCUAGAAUUACAAUGACCGCUAUGACAAAAGUUCCAAGUAGAUAAGAUCAUUUAAGAAGUUCUCCUAAAAACAAAGCCUCCCAAAUCAAAAACAGAAUGGGAUACCUAUUUUAUUAGCACGCAGAAGCCUCGGAAAGGUUUCAAAAUUCCAAAAUAGCUCCAUGGAAAGAUUCAUUGCAAAACAGAUAAUGGAAAGCUAAACACGAGACGUACCUGAAGCAAAAGUGUGAGACCGACAUAACUCCUACUCUUCCCCUCUAUUCUCCUUGCAGCACUCACUUUUUUCCAGUAAUCCUCUGUCUGAAAGUCUUUCCAUUCUGAAGAGACCCCAACACCAUAAACAAAAGUCCACCAAUUUAGUGGCCAUGCAGACACCCCCAUAUCUACUACUCUCAAAGGAGGACCCUCUUAUGGGCCCUUCCCAGAGUUGAUGAGUCUCUGAAGAAUUUUCUGGUAAACCACUUAAACAGCCAAGGAAAACUAAAAUUAAAAUUAAUGAGAAACCUGGCCAAAUUCUGGUAGAUACCGGUGCUACACUCUCUAUAUAAACUCCACGUGGAACCUAUAGAUGGGAUCCUGGAGAAAGUGGCAGAAGCCAACUAAGGGUGAGAAUUCUUAUCAGAGACAGCUCUUCCAGAUCUGUCUCUAGUACCCGGUAGAGAGAGGAAAAUAAAAUAUCUUUUGUACUGGUGCCGAAAACUCGGCCUUUGUGCACUGGUGCUCAGCUGAAUCUUGGAGACAAAGUUUUGGGUGAAGUAGAAAAGAAUAGCUUUACUGCUUUGCCAGGCAAAGGGGGACACAGUGGGUUCAUGCCUCAAGAAUUGUGUGUCCCAACCCGAGAGGAUCUGGUGAGUUUUAUGGCAAUGGUUCAAGGGCAGGGUUGCUGAUAAGGAUCAGGGUAUGUGCAGGGCCUGCACUCCUUUAAUCUGGCCUUAGGUCGUAUCCUCCCUUGUCUCUGCAUCCCCUCCCUUCCCUGAUUAAGAACUGUUCGAACCUGCCCUUUGGAACUCAGGGAAGGUUAUGGGGGCUGGAGUCUAUUCCCUACAAACAAGAAACAGGGGACACAGAAAGGCUUCCUUGCCCAAGAGCCUCACAGGGUCCUGCUCAGUUUCAGUACCCUCUUUGGAGAUGCCUCUUGAGUCCAAGUGGUUGUUCAAUACUGCCAGAAGUAUUUACUGUUUGUCCCGGCUGACAACUACAAAGUAGCUCUGUGGUCAGAAACUGGCCAAACUGCAGAGCCUGAUACAAAUAUUUUUUAGGCCUUCUUCCCCUAAGCUAAAAUAAAACUAUGUACCCAGAGGGAAAGAAAAACCUUCUAAAGCCCUUGUAAAAGGAUUUAUGGGUGGACCAGCCUAUGAUGUCAUUUAAGUUGCAGCCCAAUUCCUUGAGGAAUUAAAAGCAAUUGUCUUUAUCUCACAUAUCUUUGCAAAAUCAGAAAUUUGGCUCCAGGAACUCUUAUUUAGGUCAUCUCUUUAAAAUACCAACUUCAGGGAGGUAC